GGAAUUUUGGACAAUGGGCGCAAGCCUGAUCCAGCCAUGCCGCGUGGGUGAAGAAGGCCUUCGGGUUGUAAAGCCCUUUCGGCUGGGACGAAAAGGUCCGCGCUAACACCGCGGAUCCAUGACGGUACCAGCAGAAGAAGCACCGGCUAACUACGUGCCAGCAGCCGCGGUAAUACGUAGGGUGCAGGCGUUAAUCGGAAUUACUGGGCGUAAAGCGUGCGCAGGCGGUCUAUUAAGACAGGUGUGAAAUCCCCGGGCUUAACCUGGGAACUGUGCUUGUAACUGAUAGGCUUGAGUGUGGCAGAGGGGGGUGGAAUUCCGCGUGUAGCAGUGAAAUGCGUAGAUAUGCGGAGGAACACCGAUGGCGAAGGCAGUCCCCUGGGCCUGUACUGACGCUCAUGCACGAAAGCGUGGGGAGCAAAC
rnacentral:rRNA from 1 species